rnacentral:rRNA from 1 species
UGUGAGCUCGAUGAGUAGGGCGGGACACGUGGUAUCCUGUCUGAAUAUGGGGGGACCAUCCUCCAAGGCUAAAUACUCCUGACUGACCGAUAGUGAACCAGUACCGUGAGGGAAAGGCGAAAAGAACCCCGGCGAGGGGAGUGAAAAAGAACCUGAAACCGUGUACGUACAAGCAGUGGGAGCACAGAGCAAUCUGUGUGACUGCGUACCUUUUGUAUAAUGGGUCAGCGACUUAUAUUCUGUAGCAAGGUUAACCGAAUAGGGGAGCCGAAGGGAAACCGAGUCUUAACUGGGCGUUAAGUUGCAGGGUAUAGACCCGAAACCCGGUGAUCUAGCCAUGGGCAGGUUGAAGGUUGGGUAACACUAACUGGAGGACCGAACCGACUAAUGUUGAAAAAUUAGCGGAUGACUUGUGGCUGGGGGUGAAAGGCCAAUCAAACCGGGAGAUAGCUGGUUCUCCCCGAAAGCUAUUUAGGUAGCGCCUCGUGAAUUCAUCUCCGGGGGUAGAGCACUGUUUCGGCAAGGGGGUCAUCCCGACUUACCAACCCGAUGCAAACUGCGAAUACCGGAGAAUGUUAUCACGGGAGACACACGGCGGGUGCUAACGUCCGUCGUGAAGAGGGAAACAACCCAGACCGCCAGCUAAGGUCCCAAAGUCAUGGUUAAGUGGGAAACGAUGUGGGAAGGCCCAGACAGCCAGGAUGUUGGCUUAGAAGCAGCCAUCAUUUAAAGAAAGCGUAAUAGCUCACUGGUCGAGUCGGCCUGCGCGGAAGAUGUAACGGGGCUAAACCAUGCACCGAAGCUGCGGCAGCGACGCUUAUGCGUUGUUGGGUAGGGGAGCGUUCUGUAAGCCUGUGAAGGUGUGCUGUGAGGCAUGCUGGAGGUAUCAGAAGUGCGAAUGCUGACAUAAGUAACGAUAAAGCGGGUGAAAAGCCCGCUCGCCGGAAGACCAAGGGUUCCUGUCCAACGUUAAUCGGGGCAGGGUGAGUCGACCCCUAAGGCGAGGCCGAAAGGCGUAGUCGAUGGGAAACAGGUUAAUAUUCCUGUACUUGGUGUUACUGCGAAGGGGGGACGGAGAAGGCUAUGUUGGCCGGGCGACGGUUGUCCCGGUUUAAGCGUGUAGGCUGGUUUUCCAGGCAAAUCCGGAAAAUCAAGGCUGAGGCGUGAUGACGAGGCACUACGGUGCUGAAGCAACAAAUGCCCUGCUUCCAGGAAAAGCCUCUAAGCAUCAGGUAACAUCAAAUCGUACCCCAAACCGACACAGGUGGUCAGGUAGAGAAUACCAAGGCGCUUGAGAGAACUCGGGUGAAGGAACUAGGCAAAAUGGUGCCGUAACUUCGGGAGAAGGCACGCUGAUAUGUAGGUGAAGUCCCUCGCGGAUGGAGCUGAAAUCAGUCGAAGAUACCAGCUGGCUGCAACUGUUUAUUAAAAACACAGCACUGUGCAAACACGAAAGUGGACGUAUACGGUGUGACGCCUGCCCGGUGCCGGAAGGUUAAUUGAUGGGGUUAGCGGUAACGCGAAGCUCUUGAUCGAAGCCCCGGUAAACGGCGGCCGUAACUAUAACGGUCCUAAGGUAGCGAAAUUCCUUGUCGGGUAAGUUCCGACCUGCACGAAUGGCGUAAUGAUGGCCAGGCUGUCUCCACCCGAGACUCAGUGAAAUUGAACUCGCUGUGAAGAUGCAGUGUACCCGCGGCAAGACGGAAAGACCCCGUGAACCUUUACUAUAGCUUGACACUGAACAUUGAGCCUUGAUGUGUAGGAUAGGUGGGAGGCUUUGAAGUGUGGACGCCAGUCUGCAUGGAGCCGGCCUUGAAAUACCACCCUUUAAUGUUUGAUGUUCUAACGUUGGCCCCUGAUCGGGGUUGCGGACAGUGUCUGGUGGGUAGUUUGACUGGGGCGGUCUCCUCCUAAAGAGUAACGGAGGAGCACGAAGGUUGGCUAAUCCUGGUCGGACAUCAGGAGGUUAGUGCAAUGGCAUAAGCCAGCUUGACUGCGAGCGUGACGGCGCGAGCAGGUGCGAAAGCAGGUCAUAGUGAUCCGGUGGUUCUGAAUGGAAGGGCCAUCGCUCAACGGAUAAAAGGUACUCCGGGGAUAACAGGCUGAUACCGCCCAAGAGUUCAUAUCGACGGCGGUGUUUGGCACCUCGAUGUCGGCUCAUCACAUCCUGGGGCUGAAGUAGGUCCCAAGGGUAUGGCUGUUCGCCAUUUAAAGUGGUACGCGAGCUGGGUUUAGAACGUCGUGAGACAGUUCGGUCCCUAUCUGCCGUGGGCGCUGGAGAACUGAGGGGGGCUGCUCCUAGUACGAGAGGACCGGAGUGGACGCAUCACUGGUGUUCGGGUUGUCAUGCCAAUGGCACUGCCCGGUAGCUAAAUGCGGAAGAGAUAAGUGCUGAAAGCAUCUAAGCACGAAACUUGCCCCGAGAUGAGUUCUCCCUGACUCCUUGA